UAAUCGCUUAAGAACCCAAGAGCACAAACUUCAUUAACAUCUCAUCUAUUUGAAAAAAGAAGUAAGCCAAUGACUAUGUAUACACAUAUGUACAUGUACAUGCAUAUGUCGUUCAAAACUAGUUUUUAAGGAAAACGGCAAGUCAGCAUAAAAAAACUUUUAUAAGGUAUAUAUGUAUUUAUACACACUUUUUCUAAAUCAUGACUUGCUCUUUUAAGCUAGCUUGCCAGCAGUUUUAUCAGCUCCGCGACAUUGUAAGUUUUCGCUGCAACAUUCUCAAAUUCCACUACAAUGUUGUUUUCAGUUUCAAUGUCAAUGUCCCUGACACAACGACUGACUGCUGAUUGUAUGCGCAUGCGCUCUUUUAAUUACAUAAUACAGCGCAAUUUGCCAAGAAAUACUCAAACUUCACCGAUAAGUAUAAGUGCUAUUGAGGCGAUGUGAUCCCUAUUUGGAAACAUGGAUGCAAGGGCUUUUAUUCUUCGCCUACAAACUGUUGUGCACUCAAUUAGCAUGUCUUCUGGAGUUUUAGGAGGACAAGGUCCAGGAGUGUAACGGUCAAACCAAUAGCAUUUACAAAAAUAGCUGUAUAUGAUGGAACAUUUUUGAAUUCAAAUUCGUAAUCAGUACCAGAGACCUCUUAGCACAUCAAUCGCAAUUUUUUUAAAUACUAAAUAUGACUGGGAAAUUAUCAAUUUCUUGAAAAAUGUAAGACCUCAGAAUGACAAUUAAAUACU